rnacentral:rRNA from 1 species
AUUGAACGCUGGCGGCAUGCCUUACACAUGCAAGUCGAACGGCAGCGGACCUUCGGGUGCCGGCGAGUGGCGAACGGGUGAGUAAUAUAUCGGAACGUACCUUUCAGUGGGGAGUAACGUAGCGAAAGUUACGCUAAUACCGCAUAUUCUGUGAGCAGGAAAGACAGGGGAGUCGCAAGACCUUGCGCUGAUUGAGCGGCCGAUAUCAGAUUAGCUAGUUGGUGAGGUAAAGGACUCACCAAGGCGACGAUCUGUAGCGGGUCUGAGAGGAUGAUCCGCCACACUGGAACUGAGACACGGUCCAGACUCCUACGGGAGGCAGCAGUGGGGAAGUUUUGGUAC